rnacentral:rRNA from 1 species
CACGUAGGGGGCAAGCGUUGUCCGGAUUUAUUGGGCGUAAAGAGCUCGUAGGCGGUUUCGUAAGUCGGGUGUGAAAACUCUAGGCUCAACCUAGAGACGCCACCCGAUACUGCGAUGACUAGAGUCCGGUAGGGGAGUGUGGAAUUCCUGGUGUAGCGGUGAAAUGCGUAGAUAUCUGGAGGAACACCGGUGGCGAAGGCGGCAUCCUGGACCAACACUGACGCUGAUGAGCGAAAGCCAGGGGAGCAAACGGG